ensembl:lncRNA
CUCAAUGGUUAAAAAGGACUUUUAACUGUAACAGAGAGUUUGAGGGUUAACACACCAAAAACAAGGAUAACAAUGCCUUAAUGUGAACUUCCAUGAGUCAGCAAAAGCAAUUACUUUCCUUCCCAGAAGCAGGGAUGCAGUAGGGUUAGGAAAACUACUUGUAUAUUACAUUCAGGUCCACAAGUUCAAAACCAAGUCAAAGGAACCACCCUUGAGUAGACACUCAGUUUAGUGUCAGCAUGGCAAUAUUGUUUUAUGAUUCCAAGAUCUGUAAAUUUCCCUAUUUAUUUCAUGGCUUGUUAUAUCAUAUUUAAACUCAAUAUCUUCAUUUUCCCUUAAUAAACACAUUUGAGCCAAGAGUUUUCUAUGGACAUCGACCAAUCUCACGGAGUCAUUAGUACUUACAGUCCCCCUCGUUAUGUUAAUAACCCUUAAGUAGAAGAUAAACAGGUUUUCAAGGAUGGUGGUGUGUUCAUGAAUCUAUAUUUACUUCUCAAAAACAUCUGCAUGCAAAAGGCCCCAUUUACUACAAAUUUCAAAGCCAAUUCACCUUGCCAGCUUGCAUAGCUCUCCUGCAUUUCAUUUUAGCCCUUAAAUAACACUGGUGACAAAUUGGAAGGCAGCUGAAGUUUGACAUUGCCAUUGUUACAUGUAAAUUAGACUGACUACAUGGCCAUCAGACAUGCUACCAAUGAGCAUUCAGUCCAUUGUGUGACGGUACGACAGCUAGACAAAGCAGAGAAAGAUGUGUGCUGGGAAUGAGCAAAUCCCAUAUGCUGUGCUGUGGGAUUAUUCUACAUGCCACACUACAGGCCAUGUCUGGGAGCCAAGAGGCAUGGUAGGAGCCUGUGGUCUUUGCCUCUCCCCCAGUGUCUCCAGUGGUCUAUGCUGUGACUAUCCCCUGGCAGCCUGGCUCCAAAACCGAAGGAACCGCAGCACCAGUUUCAGAGACCAGGAGUCUGGCAGCACCCUCAAAUCAAAAGACGCUGCAUUUUUGUUCAGCAGAUCCACUGCUGCAAUUACAUGAGGACUGGACUCAAGGUAGAUUUGAAGCAGGGUGAGAAACAUUCCCUGCGUGAACUUCCUGUCUCGUCCAGCAGAGGUCCUCCAACAGUGGCUUUCAGCAGCCUGCUGAUCUUUUUCUUCAUGGACCAAAACCUGCAGGGCCUUUUUGUGUUUACCAGACUUCCCGAACUUCCCGUUCAUUUAUGAAAAACUGAUAGUAAAGGGGUCAUGUAAUAUAUUAUUACAAAGUUAUAAUAUUAUAUUAUAAUAUAAUAUUAAAUUGCUUUUUUGCUGUUGUGCCUUUGAAAAACUUCUCAUGUUGUAUGAGAAGCAGUUUUACACACUUACACACAUUUUACUCUCAUCAUUGGUUCUUCUGGGACCAUAUUACAAAAACAUCCAAUGUAGAGUCCUAUCUGUUUAGUAGUCAUGGUGAUUUCUGUUUGAAACUUGUUAGGUCUUAAUUUGAGACUAAACUUUCUGUAAUUCGUGCCCUAAGACUUAGACAUUUAUUCUGCUUUCUUCUUAUUACAUCACUAUAAAUGUCUGGGUGUAGAAUUUGAUUGUCCAGUUCUGAAGUGUAAACGUGGACAGUCAGGUGUGGAUGAGAUGCCACAAAACUGCAGAAGUUCAGAACGAGUCGUUUUUAUAACUUAGUUUCACUAAAUAUCUUAAUGAAAUUGUCUAAGUUUAAGUAGCAACCCCCACCCCCUAAAAAACAAUUUAUAAAUACUUUUUUAAAAAUAAAAUGAACAAAAUGACCA